GGCAGGUAAAGAGAGAAAGACAGAGAGGAGACUGAAAGCAGUGGAGGGAAGGCAGGGGCCAGAGACCUGUCCCAGGGACCAGCCCUGCCCUCCCUGCUCCAGCUCCCAUGCUUUGCAAGCCUGGGCCCCUUUGAUCAGUUGGGAAGAGCUCUGUCCUUGGCCCCUUCCUCACCCUCAACCUGUUCUGUCUAGAGCUAGUCACUCCUAGCUCUUUGGCCCAUCUCCAGUCCUUGUGUUACAGGCUUCAAGUCCCCUGGAGAUUAAGCCUGAAAGCCUCUGGACAAGUCUUAUUGUGAUGCCCCCUCCCCCACCUUGAGCAGCCUGGCUUGCUCCCUCCUUGGGAGGAAAGGAAUGUCGCCCAUUCCUCAGCCCGCCUCUAUAUAACCUGUUCCCCAUGCAAAUAGAUGUACCCUGCACAAGACCAAUCAGAAGAUCGAAUAUGCCCCAUUCAGAGAUCAGACAACACUCAGCCCUUACCCAAGGCUUCGGGGACUGGGGCAGGAGAAAUUGGGUCCCUACUUGGGUUCGCAGCGCGGGGAUAUAAGAACAAUUAUAAAGUGAGACAGGCCCUCUUUUACUUGCUGGGGGGGGAGAGAGGAAACAAUGCAAUUCUGUCAUUCUGGAACAAAUUCUAUCACUUGCUCCCUGCCUUCCCUGGCCAUCAUCUCCCUUCAGGCCUCCUCAUUUCUUGCCUGCAGGGUUGCCUGCAGGGACUAAGCCUGCAUGUAGCCCCUUCCCUCAUUCUCCACGUCCCAGCCCGUGAUCCCCGCCACAAGCAGUGUGAGUUCAUCUUGCCCUUGUCCAGCAUCACCAGACCUCUCUCCACGCACAGAACAAAUCCACCAGUGUUGCCUGGCUUAGGGGCCCUUGGUGAUGGGGUUCUGCCCUUCUCAGCCUCACUUCUGCCUUUUUCUUUCUCCCAGUGAUUCAUUCUGGUAGCCCCAGUCUCUAGCUUUUCUCUUUCCUGGAACAUGCCAUGCUCUUUCACGCCUCCGUGCCUUUGCACAUGCUGUCCCCUGUGCCUGGAACACCCUGGCACCCAGCCUCUGAGGCUCAGCUCUACAGCUGUCAAGCCCCUCCCUCCACAUGCACACCCGCUGGGGUUUGUAUUGGCAGCCCAGAGCUCCCUGAGUGCCCAGCACAGAGCCUAGGCCCUGAGAGGAACUCAGGGAACCUUGGUUGAAUUAAUACAAUGGUUUCUAGCCAGGCCAACGUCAGUCACCAAAAGGUUCGGUUCCCUCUGUACAUACCAAGUGGCAUAGCAGCAACUGUGGGAAAACGGCUCCCAACUGUUUGAACUAGUGCAUCAAUUAGGCUGCCUUGUAUAAAGGGAGGUAGGCAAAAAUGUAGCCUUAAAGUUUAAAAGACUUGUGUGAACUCGCAUGUGUGUGGUGAUAGCGCCUGCAGCAUCAACAUUUUGGGACACACAGUGUAUGUCAGAAGUUGUGCUAAGGUUUUUGCAUGCAAGGAUUAAUCUCUUGUUUAAUUCUCUGAACAGCUUGAGGAGGUUGGGUAUUAUUGUUCCCAUACUCGGAGAGGGAAACUGAGGCUCGAGGAGAGCAAGUGACUUAUCUGAGUCACACAGCUAGAGAGUGGCAGAACCACACUCUGUGGGGAAGACCUAUCCAUGGCCCUAUCCUGGCUAGAGUUUUGAUCCUUGAGGGCUCCCUAAUGCUUGGGAGGCACCCAUAGGCCGGGGGGCGGGGAGGCUUGUAGCCACCCCUCUCCCCUCUUUGCUGCCACCUUCCUCUGUCCCAGAGGGACUUGAAGUAGAUGUUGCCACUAUUUGUCCUUAGCACCAGAGUGCCAGCUGGUGUCCAAGGGCUGUCGUCGUGGACCUAGAGCUGGUGAGGCUUGGAAGGUGUGAACCAGUAGGAGCAGGUAGAGCUACUGUGAUCACCUCUGGGGGUGUUGGGGGGACACCCUGGCCAAGCCUGUUUUCUCUCACCUGGUCCCUCAGCCUUGCCCCCACCAUCCAUUCUCCGCGCAGAAGCCAACAUGAUCUUUCUCUGAGCAAACCUGAGCACCUCCCAAGCUUAAAAUGCCUUCAUUGCCCUCAGAAUAGAAGGCAUGCCCUGAGCCACCAUACCAUGCUUUGCCAGUCUUAUCCUGUUUCCUCCGUGGUCCCGGUCUCUUUCAGGGUGGGCCUUUGUUCUCUCAUACUGUGCCCUCCCGCUGGAUACCUCCUCUCCCGACUGCCUCGCCGCCUUGCCUGGCUGGCUACUCCUCAGCUUCAGGUCUCAGCUGAAAAGCCUCUUCCUCCAGGAAGCGGACCCCGUAUCCCCUGGCGUUCAGUAUAAGGGCUUCCUGCAAGGAGCAUCCGGAGCUCCCAGCGCAGCCCCAGAGCUGGAACAGGAGGGCCCUACGUGGCAGUCCCUUGGAUGAGAAAACUGUGUGUCAAAGCUGCUGCCGAUUCCCUCUCUAUUUUUACCUUCCUGACACUACUCCUUUGAGUCCCAGGAGGCGUCCUGGCCUGAGGUGGCCUGAGCCGGCGUCUCUGAGGCAGAUGUGGCCAGCCCUCACCUCGUUGUCCAGAAACCACCAAAAAGCCGUUUAUUCACUGCUUUUAACCAGAAAUAAAUGCAUGAGACAGAUGUUCUCAGGCAAUCUUGAGGGAUGUGAACACGAAAUCACCCCAUAAAUUACUUUUGUUGCCUUUCCUCAGUUCAAAGUUGGUUUUUUGUUCGCAUUGAUUACAUUAAAAUUGGGCAGUAAUUAAUGUUCUCCAAAUAGAACGUCCGUAUCCCCACGCUUAGAAAGAAAAACCACCCAGGAAAGAAAAUCGUGGACCUAUGUGAAACGGCCCUGCAUCAGCCUGUCCUUCCUGGACCUCGCGGGGAGCGCCUGCCAAGAGGGAUUUGCGGCAGAGCCCACGCGGCCGGCUGCCGGUCUGCGGUGGCUUCACCCUGUCCCUCUGCUCCAGGACUGCCAGGUUCCCUGUCCUCACUGAUUAGAAGACUUGGCCAGCAGCCAGGUAUCAACAUGGCUUCUGCAAUGACCACGUCCAGAGAGCAGUGCUUUGUUACAAAUGCAGCACAUCAGUGACGCCCAUGGCACCUUGAAACCCUUGACUCCACGGGACUGAGACCAGGUUCCUGGCAUCAUCACAUCUGUCCAGUCUACACCACAGCAGCACAACUACUGCUGUUGUCACUGUUUUACUGAUAAGGACACUGAGGCCCGGAGAGUCCAGAACGCAACUCCAGAUGGCCACCUCAUUCCCCUGGGAAGCCAGCGUGAGCUGAGUUAGAAGGCUUCUGGGAAGAUGCCGAGAAGAGCAAGAAUGUCUCCUUGGGACCAAGACCUGCUCUGCUGACUUGCUGAAUGGUAUGUCAGUGUGGCCCGGGCCUUGGAGAGAUGCCAGCUCAGCCUCAGGUUGGCCCACCACAGGGGCUGCCCUUUCAUGGUAAGACCCUCGGUUCACACCCCCUCCUCGCUUGCACAGUUUGGAGGCUACUGCAGUCACAUGCCCCUCAACCCCAAGAGCGGAAACCCAGAGUCAUCCCUCAACCCAAGACUUAACAAUAGCGAACACAGGUGGAGCCCAUUCUUAUGCUGGAUGCAUUGCCAAGGGGGUUGCCUCACUCCAUACUCACACCUGGUCCUGCCCGAGAAGCCCUCAGCGGUCACAGCUUUUGCCCUUGGUCAGCAGCAGGGCUGGGAUUUCAAGCCCCAUGGGUGUGAUGCUGGAGGCUGUGCUCUUAGCCAGCCUGCCAUUCUUCCCAGGGGGCCUGUCUGAUGAUUCAUUUCUUAUUCUACACCCAGAGACAGUGAGGCGUAAACCAGAAUAAAAGGGGGCUAUUAUGAUACCACUAUUUGCCGUUUAUCUAAAUUGGAUAAUAAAUCACAGAGCUACUUGAAACAAUGUACGUGUCAACCUC